GAGUGGCGCUCGGGUGAGUAACACGUAGGUAAUCUACCUUUGGGCGGGGAAUAACAGCCGGAAACGGCUGCUAAUACCGCAUAAUGCAGCGGCUCGACAUCGAGACAGUUGUUAAAGCGGGGGAUCCUUCGGGACCUCGCGCCUGAAGAGGAGCCUGCGGCAGAUUAGCUAGUUGGUGAGGUAACGGCUCACCAAGGCGACGAUCUGUAGCCGGCCUGAGAGGGCGGUCGGCCACACUGACACUUGGAUACGGGUCAGACUCCUACGGGAGGCAGCAGUCGGGAAUUUUGGGCAAUGGGCGCAAGCCUGACCCAGCAACGCCGCGUGAAGGAUGAAAUCCCUCGGGAUGUAAACUUCGCAAGAAUGGGAAGAAUAAGUAGGGGACAAUACCCCCUAUGAUGACGGUACUAUUUGUAAGCUCCGGCUAACUCCGUGCCAGCAGCCGCGGUAAUACGGGGGGAGCAAGCGUUGUUCGGAUUUACUGGGCGUAAAGGGCGCGUAGGCGGCCACGACAAGUCACUUGUGAAAUCUCCGGGCUUAACUCGGAAAGGUCAAGUGAUACUGUCGGGCUCGAGUACAGAAGGGGCAACUGGAAUUCUCGGUGUAGCGGUGAAAUGCGUAGAUAUCGAGAGGAACACCUGCGGCGAAAGCGGGUUGCUGGGCUGAUACUGACGCUGAGGCGCGAAAGCUAGGGG
rnacentral:rRNA from 1 species